AGGUAAAGAGGUGGGACAAUGAUGCUGACAGGACAGGAGGAGGUGACAUUCAGACAUUCAACGCAGACAUUUUCAUCCAAAGCAACUUGAGGAAGAAAACAGAAGCAGUUCAUCCUAAAAGUGGGCUGCUGUAAUGUUUACAUCUAUGGAAAGAGGAGCUGAGAAGAAAAGAGAGGCUGGAAAGCAGUACUUCUUGUUGAGGACAAUCCUUAAUAGGAACACUUUCUCAUACACCUAGAUUAUUAUUAGUGUUUGAUUGUUUGUUUCAUUUUUAUGAAUUGUAUUGUUUUAAUUUUUCGUUUUAUUUGAAAUUACCUAAGUUAGAUUCAUGCUAAUACUUUAACUGGACCUUGUAUCUUUGCUGGCUGGCUGGCUGUAGAGUUGGUUUCACAUACACAUGAAGUUUCUAAUUAACUAACUUUUAAGUUCAGUUUGGAUUAAACUUGUAUUUACCCAUGGU